ensembl:lncRNA LOC120094286 uncharacterized LOC120094286
ACUAGAUUUUCACCGAAAACGCUAAACCUCGGCUGAGAACAGCUGGUGAGAUUACAUGGAGAAGCUGUGACAUCAUGGGAUCUUGUGAAUGGGUGAUUACAUCUCCAAAGGAUAAGUAAGGAAGACCAGAAGCUGUGUGCGUUUUUAACACCUUGUUUAAUAAUUGCACCUAAUACCUGAGAUGAUGUCUGGGCAGGAUUACAGACACACAAGGGUUUCUGUCAAGUUGAUCAAAAUGCGAAGCAAGCAGUUGAGAUAAGCCAUGCCAGGUUCCUGUGUGGCAUGUCAACCCUUCAGAAGAAACUAACUCUUUGAACAGAGUUUAUGUUUGGCAAGACUUUACCGCUGGGGGACACAGGAGAGAGAUGCUGUGGACAACUUGGGCCUAAGAACACAGCUGUGGAUCUGUGUCCCAUUUUGUGGAAGAGGUGAGCUGUUUUCAUUGGAGACGAGGCAGGUUGAGGAAGAACUAGAGGAGGCACCAAGAGAAACAAGAAGCCCAGGGAGUAACCAAAGGAGUGGUCGUGUUUCUCUUGAAAUGACUGCAGUGAGGUGUGGCUGUGAAUUCAACUAAGAAGGGCAAAGUGGCCAGGGCAUGGAAUUGCACAUGGGGCGACCCCUGCAGUUCAAGAUGGACUAGGGAUUUGCUAAAGGAAGAAAGGGAGGAACUGGAGGUCAGACCUUGGCAACAAAGCUCAUAGUCACAUUGUGCACGGAGCGGCUGCCAGCGUGGGAAAACCUUAGCGCCGGAGUGGAAAUGUGGCCUGACAAACAAAGGCCACAUACCAAACGUGUAAAUUCACAGACACUGGAGAAAAAUGUCCCAAAUGAGUAUGUUUAAAAUGUUCAAGUUCUUACCCGCUGUCCUAAGAUCAACCCAAAUGCCAACUUAAGAGAAAAAAAAAAACAAAAAAAAAACAAAAACAAAAACUCAAACAGACAAUCGAGCAAACAAACAAAGAAGUCAUCAGUUCCCUUCCACCUUGACUCUUCCUGUUCCGAUAACUGGUGUUGCAGGUGUGCACCACACAGGCUAACAAUGGGUAACCUGUAGCCUCCAAAGUAGGCAACAAUGAAACAUUUUUAAAACAUUCUAGCUGUUGUUUUGAUACUUUAUUUUUAGUGUGUGUGUGUGUGCAGGUGUC